rnacentral:rRNA from 1 species
AUUGAACGCUGGCGGCAUGCUUUACACAUGCAAGUCGAACGGCAGCGCGGGCCUCGGCCUGGCGGCGAGUGGCGAACGGGUGAGUAAUGCAUCGGAACGUGCCCAGUAGUGGGGGAUAGCCCGGCGAAAGCCGGAUUAAUACCGCAUACGACCUGAGGGUGAAAGCGGGGGACCGAAAGGCCUCGCGCUAUUGGAGCGGCCGAUGUCGGAUUAGCUAGUUGGUGGGGUAAAGGCUUACCAAGGCGACGAUCCGUAGCUGGUCUGAGAGGACGACCAGCCACACUGGGACUGAGACACGGCCCAGACUCCUACGGGAGGCAGCAGUGGGGAAUUUUGGACAAUGGGAGCAACCCUGAUCCAGCCAUGCCGCGUGCGGGAAGAAGGCCUUCGGGUUGUAAACCGCUUUUGUUCGGGAAGAAAUCCUCUGGGCUAAUACCCCGGGGGGAUGACGGUACCGGAAGAAUAAGCACCGGCUAACUACGUG